rnacentral:tRNA from 1 species
UGGAGUGUGGCUCAGUGGUAGAGCGCUUGCCUAGCAUGAGUGAGGCACUGAGUUCAAUUCUCAGCACCGCAU